GGAUGCGAUCAUACCAGCACUAAAGCACCGGAUCCCAUCAAAACUCCGUAGUUAAGCGUGCUUGGGCGAGAGUAGUACUAGGAUGGGUGACCUCCUAGAAAAUCCUCGUGGUGCAUUCC
rnacentral:rRNA from 1 species